rnacentral:lncRNA from 1 species
ACACAGAAUACUGCUGGCUCUAUUUGUCUUGGGGUUCCACAGUCAUCUUAACACUUGAGGGUUUAGAGAAAUGUCCUCUUUCUCUUUCCUUUUAAAGUCUUUUUCUUCUUCCAUCUUCAUCUGGGACACCUAGCACUAUUCCUACAAUGGUCUCAGAUCAAGGAUGUCAGGAAUGAAGGGGAAAUAAAGACCCUCUCAGAUGAAGAAACACUAAGAGAAUUUGUCACCAGUAGACCAUUCCUAAAGGAAGUCCCUGAAACAGAAAGGAAGUGAUUAAAGAAAGAAUCUUGGAACAUCAAAAAGAAAUAACAGGAAGAACAGAAAUAUGGUUUACAGGGAGAAGACAGUUGUUGACAAUCCAGGAAGCAGGCCUUCAUCAGACAACAAAUCUUCUGGCACUUUGAUUUUGGACUUCCCAGUCUCUAGAACCAUGAGAAAUAAACAUCUGUUGUUUAUAAUCUACUCAGUUUAUGGUAGUUUGUUAUAUCAGCCUGAACGGACUAAGAUAUAAACUAUAACCACUGGAAGAAACUGGGUGAGGUGUUAUCAGGACCUCACUAUAUUAUCAUUGUAACUUUCUGGAAAUCUAUAAUUAUUUUAAAAACUGUUUAAUACUUUGCAAUGAUGAAAAAGUUCUGGAAAUAGAUAAUGGUGAUGAUUGCACAACAUUGUGAGUGUACUUAAUGUCAGAUUUGUAUACUUAAAAUGGUUAAAGUGGUAACUUUUAUGUAAUGUAUAUUUUUCUACAUUUUAAAAAAUGACUCUUCCUGAUAUUAUCAAAUUAAAUCUCUUAGAAAAUAUGAAAAUGAUCUUGGUCAAAGACAACAAAUGCUAUGAGACUGCUGAUCAUGGAAGAUUGAUUCACUUGCCCUGUACAUUUCAUUCUUUCAGCAUUUAACAUUUUAAAUGGAUUCAUUUUUUAGAUUAAAAAAAUCAAAAAGUAAACAUUCCCAUUCACCUCUCUUCUCCUCCUUAAAGAUGUUUGGUGCCAUCUGGUGAUAAGGUAAAAAGAUUGGGUUUCCAGAGGGAUUAGUAUAGGCUGCUUAAAGUAGUAAGUUAGCAGAGAGGUUUUUAACUUGCAGUGACAAAUGGCUUUGGGCUAUGAUCAAGUUCUACAAAUAGAUUAAGCCCUUUUUCUUCUUAGAAAUAAAACUGGCCUGUCAAGUCCUAAAAAUAGGUUGCUAAUCACCUGGCCUAUUUUCUCACUGAUUUUAUUUUUUAUUUUUUCUCUUGGCCAGAACUCAGUAAUUCUUACCUAAUUAAGAAAUUAAGUGUAAAAUUCUUUAAUAGGAGCUAUUUCCUUAUAAAUUGUCUCCUUUAAUGUGUUUAUAGUUUCUUAUAUCAAAAAGUACAACUGCAGAAGGAAAUAAAAUAUCUAAGCAAACCCAG